rnacentral:ncRNA from 1 species
GAUGUGCUUUGAGAUUGUCGCACUUAGUAAUCGCGAUGCUGGCUUCCAACGUGCCUCCGGCCCGUCUGAAACACGGACCAAGGAGUCUAACGUAUGUGCGAGUGUGUGAGUGGCAAACUUAUACGCGUAAUGAAAGUGAGGCCGUAUGGCCAUGUUGGGGUCACCAACAACCGACCUUGAUCUUCGGUGAAAGGUUUGAGUAUGAGCAUAUCCGUUAGGACCCGAAAGAUGGUGAACUAUGCCUGAGCAGGGUGAAGCCAGGGGAAACUCUGGUGGAGGCUCGUAGCGAUACUGACGUGCAAAUCGUUCGUCAGACUUGGGUAUAGGGGCGAAAGACUAAUCGAACCAUCUAGUAGCUGGUUCCCUCCGAAGUUUCCCUCAGGAUAGCUAGAGUCUUUAUCAGUUUUGUCAGGUAAAGCGAAUGAUUAGAGGUUCCGGGGAAGUAACUUCCUCGACCUAUUCUCAAACUUUAAAUGGGCAAGAUCCAGUAGUUACUUAAUUGAACUAUUGGGGUCAAUGAGACGACUCUAAGUGGGCCAUUUUUGGUAAGCAGAACUGGCGAUGAGGGAUGAACCUAACGCUCGGUUAAGGUGCUAAACUGCUCGCUCAUCAGAUACCACAAAGGGUGUUGGUCGAUCUUAACAGCAGGACGGUGGUCAUGGAAGUCGAAAUCCGCUAAGGAGUGUGUAACAACUCACCUGCCGAAUCGACUAGCCCCGAAAAUGGAUAGCGCUGAAGCGAGUGACCGAUACCGGGCCAUUGUUGCAAGAUAAUUGGCAACAAUGAGUAGGAGGGCGUGGGGGUUGUGAAGAAGCUUGGACGUGAGUCUGAGUGAAACAGCUUCCAGUGCAGAUCUUGGUGGUAGUAGCAAGUAUUCAAUAAGAGAACAUUGAAGGCCGAAGUGGGGAAGGGUUCCAUGUGAACAGCACUUGGACAUGGGUUAGCCGAUCCUGAGAGACAGGUUAAAUUCCAUCGGAUUGGAGCUUUGGCUCUGUUUCUCGAAAGGGAAGCUGGUUAGUAUUCCAGCGCCGAGACGUGGAUAAUAUGUGGCAACA